rnacentral:rRNA from 1 species
AUGGAUAGAUCUUGGAUUCGUGGCACACUGUUCUCUCGAGAGUACGUCAAUGGUGUCAAAGAGUUUAUGAACUUAAUUCAAGCAAAAUUCAGCGAGGAUGAAGAAAUACUAUGCCCAUGUAGAGAAUGCCUUGAUCGCAAAUACUGGCAUCAAGCUGUUGUGAACAAGCACAUAUUGACGCAUGGCAUGGAAAGUACAUAUACUCGCUGGAUAUAUCAUGGAGAAGACUUCAAUGCAGAUGUUAUUGAACAUCCUGUUGAUGUGCAUGACUCCGAGGAUGGUAACAAUGGUGCUGACCAAUUUGAAGAGAUGUUUGGCGACCUACGCACAGCAGUAGAACAAGAUCAGAAGGAAACUAAAAAUGAAGACGAUAACAAUGAUGCAAAUCCUUCUGAGACUGAGUCCUUUCUGAAGAAUGUGAGGGAAGAGGCAAAGCGGCACCUUUAUCAUGGUUGUACCAAGUUUUCAAGGUUCUCAUUUGUGGUGAAUCUUCUUCAUUUGAAGUCAUGCCAUAGGAUCACAAAUAGUGCAUUUACUGACAUUUUGAAGCUACUGGCUGAAGCAUUCCCUCAACCCAAUACACUCCCAAAAUCUUAUGACGAAGCAAAGAAUCUUCUAAAGGAAUUAGGCCUUGGGUAUGAGUCUAUACAUGUGUGCAUCAAUAAUUGUGUUUUGUUCAGAAAGCAAUAUGCCAAGCAUGACAACUGCCUAGUUUGUGGCAUGUCAAGGUGGAAAGACCCUGCUAGAAAGAAGAUACCACAGAAAGUUCUGAGGCAUUUUCCAUUGGUGCCUAGGCUGAAGAGGAUGUUUCUUUCCAAAAAAGCAUCAGAAGAAGCACAGUGGCACAAGCUAAAGAGGCAACCCAGUGAGAAGGAAAUGAGCCAUCCAGCUGUCGGUGAUGCAUGGCAAGAUUUUGAUGAAAAAUAUCCAAAAUUUGCAGAAGAUGCCAGAAACAUGAGGCUUGGUAUUGCCACUGAUGGGUUCAAUCCUUUCAGAAACUUUAACACAACCUAUAGUAUGUGCCCUGUAUUUGUUGUGCCAUACAACCUUCCACCUUGGGCAUGCAUGGAUCAGUCAAAUUUCAUGAUGGCUCUGUUAAUUCCAGGCCCUAAAUCACCUGGCAAGCACUUUGAUGUCUUCCUACAGCCACUUGUAGAAGAUUUACUUGAGCUUUGGAAGGGUGUGCGUACAUAUGAUGCUCGUGAAGGAAAAAUGUUUGAUCUUCAUGCUGCAGUUCUAUGGUGCAUUCAUGAUUACCCAGCUCUGAGCACUCUUUCAGGACGUACCACAAGAGGCUAUGCUGCAUGUAUUCAUUGUGACAAACACCCUCUUUCCUACGGCCUAAGGCACAAAAUUGGGUAUAUUAGGCAUUAUCGUUUCCUUCCAAAGGGACAUCGUUUGUGA